UACACUCCUGCGGGAGGCAGCAGUGGGGAAUUUUGGACAAUGGGGGCAACCCUGAUCCAGCAAUGCCGCGUGAGUGAAGAAGGCCUUCGGGUUGUAAAGCUCUUUUGUCAGGGAAGAAACGGUAGUAGCGAAUAACUAUUACUAAUGACGGUACCUGAAGAAUAAGCACCGGCUAACUACGUGCCAGCAGCCGCGGUAAUACGUAGGGUGCAAGCGUUAAUCGGAAUUACUGGGCGUAAAGCGUGCGCAGGCGGUUGUGUAAGUCAGAUGUGAAAUCCCCGGGCUCAACCUGGGAAUUGCAUUUGAGACUGCACGGCUAGAGUGUGUCAGAGGGGGGUAGAAUUCCACGUGUAGCAGUGAAAUGCGUAGAUAUGUGGAGGAAUACCGAUGGCGAAGGCAGCCCCCUGGGAUAACACUGACGCUCAUGCACGAAAGCGUGGGGAGCAAACAGGAUUAGAUACCCGAGUAGUCCCAUGAU
rnacentral:rRNA from 1 species